UACGUAGGGGGCGAGCGUUGUCCGGAUUUAUUGGGCGUAAAGAGCUCGUAGGCGGUUCGAUAAGUCGGACGUGAAAUCUCCACGCUCAACGUGGAGGGCCGUUCGAUACUGUCGUGACUCGAGUCCGGUAGGGGAGUGUGGAAUUCCCGGUGUAGCGGUGAAAUGCGCAGAGAUCGGGAGGAACACCCGUAGCGAAGGCGGCACUCUGGGCCGGUACUGACGCUGAGGAGCGAAAGCGUGGGGAGCAAGCA
rnacentral:rRNA from 1 species